rnacentral:misc_RNA from 1 species
AAGUCGUAACAAGGUUUCCGUAGGUGAACCUGCGGAAGGAUCAUUAACAAGUCUAAGGUGUUUUUCAAUUGCCCCUCCAGGCGUUGAAGCACUUUAUUCUUUGUGAACUGGCUCGAUUCCCUAUUUCCCUUUUCUUAUGAGAAGGGGGAGAGGGAUGACGGCGUCCUUUUUUACUCUUUUUUUAUUCUUGUUUUAUACAACGUAUAAAGACAACUUUCAGCAAUGGAUCUCUUGGCUCUU